GACGAACGCUGGCGGCGUGCCUAAUACAUGCAAGUAGAACGCUGAAGGAGGAGCUUGCUUCUCUGGAUGAGUUGCGAACGGGUGAGUAACGCGUAGGUAACCUGCCUGGUAGCGGGGGAUAACUAUUGGAAACGAUAGCUAAUACCGCAUAAUAGUAGAUGUUGCAUGACAUUUGCCUAAAAGGUGCAAUUGCAUCACUACCAGAUGGACCUGCGUUGUAUUAGCUAGUUGGUGGGGUAACGGCUCACCAAGGCGACGAUACAUAGCCGACCUGAGAGGGUGAUCGGCCACACUGGGACUGCGACACGGCCCAGACUCCUACGGGAGGCAGCAGAAGGGAAUCUUCGGCAAUGGACGGAAGUCUGACCGAGCAACGCCGCGUGAGUGAAGAAGGUUUUCGGAUCGUAAAGCUCGGUUGUAAGAGAAGAACGAGUGUGAGAGUGGAAAGUUCACACUGUGACGGUAUCUUACCAGAAAGGGACGGCUAACUACGUG
rnacentral:rRNA from 1 species